rnacentral:rRNA from 1 species
UGGGGGAUAUUGCGCAAUGGGGGCAACCCUGACGCAGCAACGCCGCGUGAAGGAUGAAAGUUUUCGGAUUGUAAACUUCUUUUAUUAAGGACGAAACUUGACGGUACUUAAUGAAUAAGCUCCGGCUAACUACGUGCCAGCAGCCGCGGUAAUACGUAGGGAGCAAGCGUUGUCCGGAUUUACUGGGUGUAAAGGGUGCGUAGGCGGCUUUGCAAGUCAGAUGUGAAAUCUAUGGGCUCAACCCAUAAACUGCAUUUGAAACUGUAGAGCUUGAGUGAAGUAGAGGCAGGCGGAAUUCCCCGUGUAGCGGUGAAAUGCGUAGAGAUGGGGAGGAACACCAGUGGCGAAGGCGGCCUGCUGGGCUUUAACUGACGCUGAGGCACGAAAGCGUGGGUAGCAAACAGGAUUAGAUACCCUGGUAGUCCACGCUGUAAACGAUGAUUACUAGGUGUGGGGGGUCUGACCCCUUCCGUGCCGGAGUUAACACAAUAAGUAAUCCACCUGGGGAGUACGGCCGCAAGGUUGAAACUCAAAGGAAUUGACGGGGGCCCGCACAAGCAGUGGAGUAUGUGGUUUAAUUCGAAGCAACGCGAAGAACCUUACCAGGUCUUGACAUCCAACUAACGAAGUAGAGAUACAUUAGGUGCCCUUCGGGGAAAGUUGAGACAGGUGGUGCAUGGUUGUCGUCAGCUCGUGUCGUGAGAUGUUGGGUUAAGUCCCGCAACGAGCGCAACCCUUGCUAUUAGUUGCUACGCAAGAGCACUCUAAUAGGACUGCCGUUGACAAAACGGAGGAAGGUGGGGACGACGUCAAAUCAUCAUGCCCCUUAUGACCUGGGCUACACACGUACUACAAUGGAUGUUAACAGAGGGAAGCAAGACAGCGAUGUGGAGCAAACCCCUAAAAACAUUCUCAGUUCAGAUUGCAGGCUGCAACCCGCCUGCAUGAAGAUGGAAUUGCUAGUAAUCGCGGAUCAGCAUGCCGCGGUGAAUACGUUCCC